rnacentral:lncRNA from 1 species
GGAGAAGCCCUUUCCCCAUGCUGGCGACGGGGAGCUACUGGGCUGUGACCUAAAAUACUAGGAAAUGGCCAUCAGCGGAGCUCGGCUGUGUUAUUUGGGUCAUGCCAAGGGCAUGUGGCCAGGAUGAAAUCGCAGGAGGAAUCAAGCAGCAAAGAGAGAAAAUGAAAAUCAGGUUGAAGCAAGAGAAGGGGAAGGAAGAGAGACCAAGCCCGCGAGCGCAGAGGGAACUGCCUGGCGCAGCAGCGAGAAGGUGAGCUCCCGGCAGGGCUGCAGCUGGCCCCGGCUGGGCAGCGACCCUCACUCUGCAGGGAGAGACGGGGACGUGCCAGCCGAUCCCACCAGGGACCCAGCAUCAUCGCUGCGUGGCCGUCGGGCAGACAGCAUGGAGCUCUGGCUGGCUGGCGGCCUUCUGCCCCUGCUGCUCCUCGCCUGGCUGCCCGCUGGUGAGUCUCCCCUCGCCUCGGUUCUGAACUGUUCCCGCUUUGCCUGCAGGAGGUUUGGGAGGUGGCUGCUGUUUCUUUGUCCUCUCUUGCAGCAUUUAAACCCCCUUUCUGCGCCAGCAUCUCUGCCCUGUGCCUUGCAGAGGGUUCCCCUCCUGCAAUUGUCCGUGCGCAGGCUGCGGGCUCUGCCCGUGGGCACCGGAUUUCAGGUGCUGAGGCUUUGAACCAGCAUCACUUCAGCAGCAGGGAGAGAAAACAGUCAGGGCAAGGGAAGAAAACAGAGAUGUUUGUAAGCCUGACAACUGCGAAGGGGGUCAGCUUUAUGUGGAGGAUGUGGAUAUUCCUUAUACUAACCCAGCCUUCCACGGUUGUUUUUUUCUGUAGGACUCACUCACCAGGUUUCAGCCAUGAUCAAUGUGUCAGUAGGGUUAGAUAUCGCCUUGCUCCAGACAGGCUCAACCACCACCAUCACUGGGGAGGUGAAGUGUUUUAAUUCCACCCAAAACAAUGGAGAAAAGCAGAGCAAAGGUGCUGUGGCAAUGCAAAGUAGUUCCUUCCAGCUUGUCUUCACCAGUGUGAACAAAGCACAUACAGGAACGUACACAUGCAGGAUGGAGAACACAAGGAACGUGUCGGAGAACACAAGGAACGUGUCUGAGAACAGAGAUUCCAAAGAGAACAAGGAUGCCAGGCAGGCAGAAGAGUCAAACACCACCAUGGAGUGCACGUUCAAGAUUUGGUUGGAGAAUCUCACGGUGAAGUGGUACAAACCUGCAGAUCUAGAGGUGGGGAACCAAACCCACACCACGGCUCUAGGAAAAAACUGUACCAGUCCCAGCGUGUGUGCAGUCAACACGGGAAUCUGCGAGUGUAGAGUGUCCAUCACAAGAUUAAACUUGACAGACACUGGAGACGGCAUGCAAGGGACAGUUCCCAGUAAGUGGCACCGCUUCCAUUUCCAUGGGGGUGAUGAGUGGGCAGAGAAGGGUGCUACAGUGACUGCUCCCUGCAGUACCGCCUGCCGUUUCCCCUGA